rnacentral:rRNA from 1 species
UACGGAGGUGGCAAGCGUUGCUCGGAAUCACUGGGCGUAAAGGGCGCGUAGGCGGGGAGGUAAGUCGGGUGUGAAAUCCCUCGGCCCAACCGGGGAACUGCGCCCGAGACUGCUUCUCUUGAGUCCCGGAGAGGAAGGUGGAAUUCCCGGUGUAGCGGUGAAAUGUGUAGAGAUCGGGAGGAACACCGGUGGCGAAGGCGGCCUUCUGGACGGUGACUGACGCUGAGGCGCGAAAGCGUCGGGAGCAAACGGG